rnacentral:misc_RNA from 1 species
GAUGGACUAGUUGGUGCUUUGCAUGUUCCUUUGUAAGCCACUGGCUUAUUUCUUGGCCCAUGCUCGGUUGCCUAACCCUCGGAUGCUGAAAAUUAAGUGGGCGAGGGGGUAGAAAACCCUUUGGAUAAGCCCGGGCCUUGCGCUCGUUGCUCGAAUCGAAAGACGUUGUGGCUCGCCUUGCAAUUCUUGAACCACGGGUUC